GGAGGCAAGUGGGAGGGAGAGGGUGAGAUUCACUGAGGCUGGGAAGAGGAGGAGGCUGGUGUCCCCAAGGGCCUGAGGUCCAAGCACAGCUCCAAGGCACAGCCCGGGAGGGUGGAGCACACCCGGCGGCCCACAUCAUGCCCCGAGGCGCUCAUGCCUGGCCAGGAUCCCCAGGCACCAGGCAGGGCUCAGGAACAGCCGCCAGCUUAGGGCAGCAGGACGUGCAGGCAUGGAGUGGCCGCCCAGGAGGCGGUGGUGACAGCUCCCAGCCCUGCAGCUCUUCUGGGCACCAUGGAAGCUUCUGGAUCCUGGAGCAACUCUAGGAGGGAAGAGAGUUGCAUUUUCUGCCAGCCCCACAGGGUGGGGCUCCCAGUUGGGUUUAAGCUGAUUUAAGUAAACAAAGAAAUGAAACUUCCGGAUUUCUGGACAGCACGGCCCUCCAAGUUCAUGGUCUGAGGCCUCUUCUUUGCUCCGAAUAUUCAUUAGAUAAAACAUUUCAACAAAACAAGCCAAGCAUCGCAGACACCAAAAACAGACAGAACAAAACCCGUGGGUGGGGUCUGAGAUGGAGCUUCCGGUCUCGGAACCAAGGUGGGGGAAGUGCUGGCACAGCUCCCGGGGUGGGGAGCAGAGGCCGCUGACUGCACAGAGAGACCCCCACCCCAGAGAGGGAACAGAAGAAAAUUCCGGCUGAGUGCUUCCCGGACUUCAGCUUCCAGAUUCGAGAACCAGGAUGUGGGAGGAAGCAGCCUCCUGUCCAGGACCCAGGAACUGGUGUCCAGAACAAGCUCGUGCUGAGCUGUGUGUGAAGGUGGGCCGAGGUGGAGGCCAGGCAGCCAGGAGCCCACAGGCUUGGCUUGUCCGACGGCACGGCCAAGCCCACGCUCAGCCUGCCCAAGAUGGUGAAGGGGACACAGUCCCAGGCGAGCAAGCUGGAUCGAAGCCAGUGACAGCUCUCCCAGAGGGUGAAGAAGGGAAUUUAAGAACACUUCACCCAUCUGGAACUAGGAAAUGCCGUGGGAGCAGACAUAGCCAAGCAUCUGUGCUCUCUGGAUGAUAACUUAAGCUUUUUAACCAAUCGUCAAUCAGAAAAUCUUUGAAUCCGCUUAUGAUCUGUAAGCCACCGCUUCACUCCACGUGGUU
rnacentral:lncRNA from 13 species